CUUUGCUUUAACCCUCAUUUAUGGCAGCGUUUUACCACCGAAACGACCCCACUCAGUAUAUAUUGUUCCUCAAACAAACUGUGAAACCCAAAUAUCUGAUAAAUUCACUCCGAAAUCAAACCAACGCCCCUUCCCAUCAACCCUUGAAAAUGUCGAUUGUAGAAAAUUGUGGAUUACUGCUCUCUUUUUAUCCUUGGAAACUGGAACAGCUCCGGCGAUCGUAGAAUACUUCCUCUUCCUCAAGAUCUUGAAAGGACUGAUUUUUUUGGGAGGAUCUAUUUUGAUUCCAGCUGAUACCGCUCCAGAAGAACGAAACCUUAAACUCCUUUCAAAGAGAGACACAUAUAAUCAGAAGCUAAAUUUUCAGCCACGAGUACAGCGACCAGGCCUUCUUCUUCAGCGACAACCUUUGUGGCUCUGUCAUCUUAGAAAACCAUGUUUCUCAGUUUGUUUAUACUACGUUUUCAUUUUCAUUUGUCAAAAAAAUAUCUAAGGUGCAGCAUCCACGUCUCUGUUUUUAUUUAUUCUUUUGUUCCUUUUGUUCUGUUAUUUUGACUGAAAGUUUCAGAGCUCUUUCACUAUUUUAUGGUGUUGUUUUGAAAAACAGGUCUAUGAAACCAGCGCUUCAAACUGCAGAGUGAACUAUAUUCAACGGUCUCUGUUGAGAAAGCCAACGAUCAGCGGUAAUAACAUUCAAUAUCUAUAUUAUUUAGAGAUUCGAUGUUACGCACAUUUUGAUGAGUUUGGCCAUUUAAGUUAAUUUUAAUGGAGUACAUUGUAGAAAUUUUUGAGCUUUUGUUGGGAUUCUGAGAAAGUUAAGGAGAAAACAUAUAUAGCCAAUCUGUGUUCUCUCUUUUAGUUUUUUUUUCUUGCAGAUAUCUUCAUUGUGUUCAUGGCAACCCACAAACAAGAAAGAGAGAUAACAUUUUUUUACAGAACGAGCACUCUCCACUUUUGAUCUCUCUUACAGUACGAAGCGGCAAAAAAAAAUUCACACCGUUAAUAAAACAUGUGGCGGAUCUUCUGCAGAAUAAAAUAAAAACGGAACCAUCUUGAUGCGGCGCAUCUUUGCCUAACGUCUGCAUAUUCAUUUCGACGUUGGCUUAGCAGUGGUGGGAAGUUCUGUUUUAGUAUAUGGGUUUCAAGUUAUCGUUUCGCUGCUGGAACAUGAUGUAAAGAGAUAUUGUCAUCUUCUUAUAUCAAAUCCAUGAAAAGACUAUCAGGAUUUACUGUGUUAUGGGUAUUGUUAUAGCUUUCAAGAAAAUUAUGAGAUAUUGUGUUCAAAUGCAUUUCAAAAUAA